GACCGGUAGCUCAGUUGGUAGAGCGACGGCAUCACAGCGAUAGAGGAAGGGGCCCGGGUUCAAGCCCGGGCACGGAAUG